ACUCUCCCAGCAUGCUGAGCGGCGCCAGCUGACUGAGCUGAAUUGACACUUGACUGCAAGGAUUCUACUAAUGUUCCCUGGUUGACUGCCACCGCGCUGUCAGUGCUAGGACUAACAAGAGACAGAGACGAAUAGAGAAAGUGAGGCACAUGAAAACAUUUUUGGUCAAGUGCUGGCCAAUAAGAAAUAAUUAUCUAGAUGAAGAGAAGCGAUUCAAAAUGCAACAGGUCCAAGGAAGUCAUGGAGGUAAAGCUUCGGGCCACGCAGCACUUCAAGGCUUCCCCGGCACUGACCACCACUGGAAGUGUUACAUAGCAGUGAUGAGGGUCUGCACCACACCGAUGAAGUGUGUGCCAGGCAGCCUACCAGACUUCAGUGAGUGCUGAGCCAGCUCCUCCAUUUAUGUGCAGUGGGUACUGAGUUCCUUCACUUCAUCAUGAUGGGUGUAGAACUCUGGCAAGACUAAAGGAUGUUAUAGUAUACAUAAAACAGUGAGAACCUGUAUCGAGGGCAUGAUGCUGGCCAUGAGUGGGACCAAGAGCAGGAGAUGCACGCCACACUCGCUGCAUGGAGUGUGAGGAGGAGGAAGCAUGGUGGUGUAUUCUUAGGGGUAUUUCAGUGUUCAUGGAGGAUGGAUCAGAUUUCAUCAUUGCAAGAAAAUGAAGACCUUAUUCCUCCAAGACUAAUAUACCUCCAAGAAGAUAUGUUCAGUGUGCCUGUGGUUGUAGCAGCAAUAGUGUUGGUCAGUCAUCAUGUGAGAAGGGACAGUGUGCUAGAGGGAGUGAGGACAGGGGCUGUGUGUGCACUUUAUGGCAUUGGCGGGUGUGGUGGUGCGGGAUGGCAUUCAGUGGCAGCCAGGAAGAGAAUGACUUUGUUUGGAAUUGUUAAUCAUUUUGUUUGGAAUUGUUAAUCAUUUAAGGUGUAGAAGUGAACUUUUUUCCUUUUAUUUUUUUAUUUUUUUAUGAUUUAAUUUUUUUAUUUGGUUUGGUGGUGGUGGCUCACAUAAGCUUCAUAACUAAAUUGCUAUUUAAUUUCACUUCUGCACCUUUUAGAUGGUUAAAUGUAAUAUUCUGAACACGAUUAUUCUUUUCCUGGCUGCUGUUAAGUGUCACUGGAGCACCGCUUCACCUGCUGAUCCCAUGGAGAGGGCACCAUGGAAAUCCACUUGCUUAUUCCAUCCUACAACGUAGUUGGAAAUGAAAAGAAAUAGACAUCUUUGUUUAGUGAUUUAUUGAUAGUACAAUAAAACCUCCAUAAACUCAACUAUAUGUGGGGUGAGGUGGCUGACGGUUUAUUCAAUGUUCAGUUUUCUGCUGGUUUCUAUGUUAUGUGUAAACAUGUACGUUUAUUGUUAUUUACUAGUACGUUUAUUGUUAUUUACUAUUAGCACAUUAUUACAACAUAAGCCAAAAGAUUGAUAUUUACAACAUUUCUUUAUUAAAUGUGCACAACACACUAGCUGGUCACUCAAGAGUUCAUUUAACAUUACACAACUACACACUUAACUGUACACAACAUACUGGUCACAUGAGAGAGCUAACAUAACAAACAACAUUAUGCACUAUACUACUAGUGUACUUCUGCUUGUCACUCGGAGUCUAAAUCAAAGAUGUUGGCUGGUUGCUCUGGUGUGAUUGGGGAUGGAGUGGAGGUGGCAGACUGGUUGAGGAGGUUGAUAACGGUGUUCGAGUUAUCCAAUAUUCGGCUUCAAUUUCAGUUUAGGGAGGUUUUACUGUACUAGCACUUGCCAAUCUCCUGUGCAAUAUCUCACUUAAGGAGGAUUACAGUAUCCUUCUCCAUUCACCGCCAUCCACUUUCUUUCUGCAAGAAGACUCUCCUCCCAUACCUGUGCCUCUUCUUGCUGUGGUGCAGGUAAAAUGAACACUUCUCAAUGUGGGAGUCUUACAAACUACACUAGCAAAUCUUGCUGAGUGAAGAUGAUGUCUCUAACUCUCCUACACUAGUGUGUAUAUAAUUAAUUAGCAGUACUUUCUUCCUUGCAAGAGUAACAACAUCAAAACGUCUAGUUUAGCAGAGUCAGACUGUGUGGUGCUAUGAAAGCACUAUAUCUGAGGAGAACCAAGAAAGUACUGCAUUUUAUUGUUUUGUGCCAAACACAUUCAGAACACUGAAGUUGACACUACUGGUCAACUAUUAGUUUAUAUAGUUUGGGACUCCCAAAUUGAUGGGUGUUUUUUACCUGUUAUAUGGCAGCCAGAUAAGGUGUGGGAGGAGAUGGAUGUCUUCCACAAAGUUCCAGUUGGCUGUCACAAAGUCCAGUUAGGUGAAGUUUCUGAAAAUAUAAUUUUUCUUAGUAUUCUUAUAUAGUAUUCCUAUAUAUUUCACUAUCCCCUUUUCUUUAGUAUUCUUAUUUAUUUCUCUCCCCUCUCUCUCUUUCAUAAUUUGUUCGUCGUCUCAAGCACUGGGUGUUUUUAUUAAUAACCACACAAGCUUACAGUCAAAAGAGCUGGUUCGAUUGACUGAGACAGCUGUUGGAGACUAGAAUCAGCUGGCAGGCAGCCAGUUCCAAAUCUAAAUGGACAAAAAAAAGCAAUUAGUAGAUGAAAAAAAUUGCUUUAUGACUUACAACUUGAGUACUAAAAGUUACUCAGACUUUAGUGAUAUUGAUAUAUCAUAAUGAAAAUUUAUCUAUAUGAGAGAGUGUCAGUAAAUGUGAAGGUACUUUCAUGAGAGGGAUAUCCAAAUAGAGACAGUUGGAGACAACCUAUAGUCUGUUCAGAGGAUGAAGUCCAUUCAAGGUGUGGCAGAUUUUGUGACAGUGUAGAGGGAAUGGAGAAAGCAGUUAGCUUUAUUUGACACCUGUAGUGAAUGGAAGUUAAAACUUGAUUGUGAUAAAUAAAAAUAUAGUUGUGUUCAGCAGGGGAAGAAUUCACCAAAAUAAUUAUGAUUUUGAAUCUGGUUGUAGAGGAUUACAAUUAAAACCUCCCUAAACUAAACCCGAAUAAGCCAAAUAUCAGAAAACCAGAGUGUCCUCGUGGCAACUUGUGUGGCAAGCUAAAGUACACUAAUAGUACACUGCAUAAUGGUUAGCUCUUAUGUUACCAGUGUGUUGUGUACAGUUAAGUGAGCUCUUAAGUGAACACUAAGUGUGUAGUUUUGUAAUGUUAAGUGAACUCUUUAAGUGACCAGUUAGUGAGCUGUGUACAGUGUGUAAUAACAAAACAUGCUGUAAAUAUCUAUCUUGGGGCUUAUAAUGUGCUAACAAAUAUGCUGCAAAUACCAUUAACAAUAAAUGUACAUGUUUAUGUACACAGAAGCUGGCCAAAAAUGUAUAUUGUCGGAUAAACCAAACUUUUGGAUAAGUCAUCAGCCACCUCACCUCAUAUAGUUUGGUUUAUGAAGGUUUUACUGUAUUUAAUUACAAUGGCAGGUUUUGCAAAAGACAGCUGAAUGUCAAAAGAACAAGCAGCAAGGGCUCUUUAUUCUAUGGUAGGAAAAUGUAGAAAGUUUGACCUACUAGUUGAUAUGCAAAAUGAAUUGUUUAAUGCCAUGGUGCUGCCAGUAAUGACUUAUGCUUGUGAAAUAUGGGAACAUUAUAUAUUGUAAGAGAGACAGAGCUGUUACAUAUAAAGUUUUUGAGAAAUUGUGUAUUCAUAGAAAUACUUGCAAUGACAUGGUUUAUGGGGAACUUGGUGUAUUUCCACUUAACAUUUAUAUUAAGUGUAAAAUGAUAGGAUAUUGUGUUAGAAUGAUUUCUGGCAUAGAUGCUAAAUUGUGUUUUGUAAUGUAUCCGUGUUUGUUGUAUCUAGACAGGUUAGGGAGCUAUACUUUGCAUUGGUUAGCAUCUAUCAAAAACAUCCUUAAUGAGUGUGGAAUGUCAUGGUUAUGGUUGUUGCAAGAUGUUCCUAAUGUAACAUGGGUUAAGAAAGCUGUGAGUUGAUAAUAAGGGAUCAGUGGGUAGCAACCUGGCAGAGCAACUUAGUGACAAAAAUCUUAUGUAUAGACUAUAAGAUAUUUAAAUCAAAUUUGGCAUGAAGGCUAUUGUAAAGUUUAACAAGACCAGUUGCAUUUGGUUAACAAAAUUUAGAGCUCUUAAUAAUAAGUUGCCUGUUAAUGUUGGUAGGUGCCAUGGUGAGAGCAGAGAAGAGCCUAUUUGUAAUAAGUAUGAUGUUGGAGCUGUAGGGGAUGAGUAUCAUGUUCUUUUUGCUUGCACUAAUGGGAAUAUUGUGAAGUUAUAGGGUUUUGUAUAUACCAGUUUACUUUACAAGAAGGCCAACAUACUUUAAAUAUGUUUUGUCAGUGCAAAGUACAAAUAUCAGGUUCUUCAAGAUGUUUCAUUGUUUUGAGGUCCGUUUUAUGUAUGUUCAGAUGAGUUAUUUGUUCACCAAACUGCUUGUUACAAGUUUUUUGCCGUUUGAUCCUUGUAUACAGCUACUACCUAGAUUACUAUAACAAUUUAACUAUCAUCUGUGGUGUGUUUCUUAUUUUUGUUGUUUUGAUGUUAGUUUACUUGGACAGCUAAACUAUCAUCAGUAGUGUGUUAUUUGGAUAAUCACUGUUAUUUAAAUACUUAUUAUACAAGUCUGAGCUAUACAAUAAAUUCAGUUCAGAUCACAC